rnacentral:rRNA from 1 species
GGUUAAGCGACUAAGCGUACACGGUGGAUGCCCUGGCAGUCAGAGGCGAUGAAGGGCGUGCUAAUCUGCGAUAAGCGCCGGUAAGGUGAUAUGAACCGUUAUAACCGGCGAUACCCGAAUGGGGAAACCCAGUGUGACUCGUCACACUAUCAUUAACUGAAUCCAUAGGUUAAUGAGGCGAACCGGGGGAACUGAAACAUCUAAGUACCCCGAGGAAAAGAAAUCAACCGAGAUUCCCCCAGUAGCGGCGAGCGAACGGGGAGGAGCCCAGAGCCUGAAUCAGCAUGUGUGUUAGUGGAAGCGUCUGGAAAGGCGCGCGAUACAGGGUGACAGCCCCGUACACAAAAGCGCAUGUGCUGUGAGCUCGAUGAGUAGGGCGGGACACGUGGUAUCCUGUCUGAAUAUGGGGGGACCAUCCUCCAAGGCUAAAUACUCCUGACUGACCGAUAGUGAACCAGUACCGUGAGGGAAAGGCGAAAAGAACCCCGGCGAGGGGAGUGAAAAAGAACCUGAAACCGUGUACGUACAAGCAGUGGGAGCCCCACCACUAAGCCAGUGGUGAACUCCACAUACGCAUCCUUUGCUGAGGAUACGGUUAACGGAGCGAAAGCGACGUUCAACCUCAAAAGAAGCAGAGGGGGCUUAGUGGUGGGGUGACUGCGUACCUUUUGUAUAAUGGGUCAGCGACUUAUAUUCUGUAGCAAGGUUAACCGAAUAGGGGAGCCGGAGGGAAACCGAGUCUUAACCGGGCGUUAAGUUGCAGGGUAUAGACCCGAAACCCGGUGAUCUAGCCAUGGGCAGGUUGAAGGUUGGGUAACACUAACUGGAGGACCGAACCGACUAAUGUUGAAAAAUUAGCGGAUGACCUGUGGCUGGGGGUGAAAGGCCAAUCAAACCGGGAGAUAGCUGGUUCUCCCCGAAAGCUAUUUAGGUAGCGCCUCGUGAAUUCAUCUCCGGGGGUAGAGCACUGUUUCGGCUAGGGGGCCAUCCCGGCUUACCAACCCGAUGCAAACUGCGAAUACCGGAGAAUGUUAUCACGGGAGACACACGGCGGGUGCUAACGUCCGUCGUGAAGAGGGAAACAACCCAGACCGCCAGCUAAGGUCCCAAAGUCAUGGUUAAGUGGGAAACGAUGUGGGAAGGCCCAGACAGCCAGGAUGUUGGCUUAGAAGCAGCCAUCAUUUAAAGAAAGCGUAAUAGCUCACUGGUCGAGUCGGCCUGCGCGGAAGAUGUAACGGGGCUAAACCAUGCACCGAAGCUGCGGCAGCGACACUAUGUGUUGUUGGGUAGGGGAGCGUUCUGUAAGCCUGCGAAGGUGUCUCGUGAGGGAUGCUGGAGGUAUCAGAAGUGCGAAUGCUGACAUAAGUAACGAUAAUGCGGGUGAAAAACCCGCACGCCGGAAGACCAAGGGUUCCUGUCCAACGUUAAUCGGGGCAGGGUGAGUCGACCCCUAAGGCGAGGCCGAAAGGCGUAGUCGAUGGGAAACAGGUUAAUAUUCCUGUACUUGGUGUUACUGCGAAGGGGGGACGGAGAAGGCUAUGUUGGCCGGGCGACGGUUGUCCCGGUUUAAGCGUGUAGGUGUGUGUUCCAGGUAAAUCCGGUUCACUUUAACACUGAGGCGUGAUGACGAGGCACUACGGUGCUGAAGCAACAAAUGCCCUGCUUCCAGGAAAAGCCUCUAAGCAUCAGGUAACAUCAAAUCGUACCCCAAACCGACACAGGUGGUCAGGUAGAGAAUACCAAGGCGCUUGAGAGAACUCGGGUGAAGGAACUAGGCAAAAUGGUGCCGUAACUUCGGGAGAAGGCACGCUGACACGUAGGUGAAGUGAUUUACUCAUGGAGCUGAAGUCAGUCGAAGAUACCAGCUGGCUGCAACUGUUUAUUAAAAACACAGCACUGUGCAAACACGAAAGUGGACGUAUACGGUGUGACGCCUGCCCGGUGCCGGAAGGUUAAUUGAUGGGGUUAUCCGUAAGGAGAAGCUCCUGAUCGAAGCCCCGGUAAACGGCGGCCGUAACUAUAACGGUCCUAAGGUAGCGAAAUUCCUUGUCGGGUAAGUUCCGACCUGCACGAAUGGCGUAAUGAUGGCCAGGCUGUCUCCACCCGAGACUCAGUGAAAUUGAACUCGCUGUGAAGAUGCAGUGUACCCGCGGCAAGACGGAAAGACCCCGUGAACCUUUACUAUAGCUUGACACUGAACACUGGUCCUUGAUGUGCAGGAUAGGUGGGAGGCUUUGAAGCGCGGACGCCAGUUCGUGUGGAGCCAUCCUUGAAAUACCACCCUUUAAUGGCUGGUGUUCUAACGUAGACCCGUGAUCCGGGUUGCGGACAGUGUCUGGUGGGUAGUUUGACUGGGGCGGUCUCCUCCUAAAGAGUAACGGAGGAGCACGAAGGUUAGCUAAUCCUGGUCGGACAUCAGGAGGUUAGUGCAAAGGCAUAAGCUAGCUUGACUGCGAGCGUGACGGCGCGAGCAGGUGCGAAAGCAGGUCUUAGUGAUCCGGUGGUUCUGAAUGGAAGGGCCAUCGCUCAACGGAUAAAAGGUACUCCGGGGAUAACAGGCUGAUACCGCCCAAGAGUUCAUAUCGACGGCGGUGUUUGGCACCUCGAUGUCGGCUCAUCACAUCCUGGGGCUGAAGUAGGUCCCAAGGGUAUGGCUGUUCGCCAUUUAAAGUGGUACGCGAGCUGGGUUUAGAACGUCGUGAGACAGUUCGGUCCCUAUCUGCCGUGGGCGCUGGAGAACUGAGGGGGGCUGCUCCUAGUACGAGAGGACCGGAGUGGACGCAUCACUGGUGUUCGGGUUGUCAUGCCAAUGGCACUGCCCGGUAGCUAAAUGCGGAAGAGAUAAGUGCUGAAAGCAUCUAAGCACGAAACUUGCCCCGAGAUGAGUUCUCCCUGAGACUUAGAGUCUCCUGAAGGAACGUUGAAGACGACGACGUUGAUAGGCCGGGUGUGUAAGCGCAGCGAUGCGUUGAGCUAACCGGUACUAAUGAACCGUGAGGCUUAACCUU